UAGAUAGUAAGCUACCCUUAUGUUGGGAAUCUGGUACUCGUCCCGGUACCGAAUUUUGUGAAUCCGCAAUCCGCUCUGAUACCAACUGUUAUUGAUCCGGUACUGAUUAUUGAGACUUCGCAACGAAUGCGUCGAAUCGGAUUUUUUACCAAAAACCUGUUUCUUCAGCAAAAGUUGAUAUAAUCAUAAAAGAGAAAAAAACACAACCAAAGAGAAACAUGUAGAUAAAAUAACAUUCAUUAAAUAAGAGAAGAUUACACAUGACUCAUCUUUUAUAUAGAGUAGCUACAGCCCGAGCACUCUUUUUGAAUCUCUCAUACUCUUCUCUCGUCUUCUCUAGUCUCAGAAAAUAUCUCUCUCAUCCUGUGCACCCGUGCACAAAGUAUACUAAUGACCCACAACUAAGAAAGUCGCUCAUGUCUUCUUGCACUCAUGCAUUAGGUGUAUCCAAAAUCAUGACCAUUUUAGUCAUGCCAUAAGGGUGUGGCUAAUUCGUACCACAACCACCACAAUAAUAGCACAUAUGCUAUAUUUAUAGCUUACAUCAAAAGCUACCCAAAUCCUAAUCCAAUUAGAUUUCUACUCAAAUUAAUAUUUAAAUCUUAAUUUAUCUCCAACAGAUUUAAAUAUUAAUCAUAAUCCAAUUAGGAUUCAAUUACAAAUCUAACCAAAUCCUAACAUUUUCCACCUUAGUUAGAUUUGUAGUCUUUAAUCGCUGCAUCGAGCUCACUAUGCAAGCUCCAUCUUGAACUUGUCUCCUUUGC
rnacentral:lncRNA from 1 species